UACGUAGGUGGCAAGCGUUGUCCGGAUUUAUUGGGUUUAAAGGGUGCGUAGGCGGCCUUUGUAAGUCAGUGGUGAAAUAUGGCAGCUCAACUGUCAAGGUGGCCAUUGAUACUGCGGAGCUUGAGUACAGAUGAGGUAGGCGGGAAUUGACGGUGUAGCGGUGAAAUGCUUAGAUAUCGUCAAGAACACCGAUAGUGAAGACAGCUCACUAAGCUCAAACUGACGCUGAGGCACGAAAGCGUGGGGAGCGAACAGG
rnacentral:rRNA from 1 species